UCGGACGCCGCUGGUUCGGACCAGCCGGGCUGGGUUCGACCGAGUGGGUCUGGGUUCCGAAGGUGCUGGUGCGCAGGGUACUAGGCUCAGGACGGGCUGGGCUGGGUCCAAAUGUGCUGGUUUGCAGGGUGCUGGGUUCUGAUGGUGCUGGGUCUAAAGGGUGCUGGGUUCCGAAGUUGUUGGGUCUGCAAGAUGUUGGGUUCGGACGGGCGGGGCUGAGUUCCGACGGUGCUGGCUCUGCGGGAUGCUGGGUUCGACUGGGUGGGGCUGGGUUCCGACCGUGCUGGCUUAGCAGGAUGCUGAGUUUCGACAGUGCUGGGUGUGCGGGGUGCUGGGUUCGACCGCGUGGGGCUGGGUUCCGAGCGUGCUGGGUGAGCAGGGUGCUGGGUUCGACCAAGUGGGGCUGGGUUCCGAGCGUGCUGGGUGAGCAGGGUGCUGGGUUCGGCCGGGUGGGGCUGGGUUCCGAAGAUGUUGGGUCUGCAGGGUGCUGGGUUCGGCCGGGCGGGGCUGGGUUCCGACGGGCGGGGCCGGGCUCCGAGGGCUGGUGCUGGGUUCGGACGCGCGGGGCUGGGCUGGCUGGGCUGGGUGGGUGUGGGCAGUCAAGGGUGGAGGGCCAGCAGAGCGCCGGCAGAAAGCCCCGUGGGCGCGUUGGCGAGCGCGGGGUGCUGCGGGUACUGACCUCUGCAGCAGGGCCUGUGUGUGCUCUGCUCCCUUCUCACCCCGCCCGGGUUCCGCGGGGAUCUGUGGGUCGCUAAUGUGUCCCUUCCUGGGUGAUUCCCUUUUUGUCGGGGUCCAAUCAGAGCAAACCUUGUGGAGCUGCUGUCCUCGGAGCAGGAUGCGUUAGUAUGCUUCGCGCGUGUUCCAAAGACGAGGUCUGUGAACUGCUCCCGGUGUCUGCGCUCCUGCGUCUUUGAGUCUUUGAGUCUUUGAGUCUUUGCUGUUGUCCUGGCGUGUCCCGCGGGGCGGUGUGGAGCUGGAGCGCCCAGCUCCCUUUGUGUGCGUCUACUCGGAGAAUACCUCUUCUCCCAGACCAGUCGUGCGUACAGACAUGGCUCAGGCUGUGCAGUUACGAGAACGAGCGAGGGGCGCGGCGAUGGCACCUCACCCCAUGUUAAAGCCCUGAGUGCCCCAGGAGGUGUGCAGGCCUCAGAUUAAUUUCACUAGCAAGUUCUCCAAAUUUUAGGGAGGUUUGUUGCAUUAGGUGCUUUCUUUAAUUGCCCCCUACGUCCCCCCCCCAAAAAAAAUUAUUUUUGGCCCCAGAACUCAUUCCAACAGACUCUUUCCUCCAUGCAGUGCUCGCUCAGGUGAAGCUGGUUUCUUAUAUCUGUGAUGCGCUGUAACCAUAAGCCCUCAUCUUUGAAACGCCAGAGCUAAGGAAUGAAAAUAGUGAGUUAUAUUUGACAAAGCCUCUUUAUUUUUGUCAUUACUCUGUCUUCCAGUGUGGAGAUAAUUUCUUUCUCCACCAAUCGGAUCUUUUCCUUUGUAGGAAAGAAGAGACCCCGAUCAGCCCUGCUGGGCUUUGUCUGCCGCUUCUUUUCCAGGUGCACGUCGUGGUGUCAACUGUCUCGCCAGAUUCCACGCGCCAUGCGAGUCAUCAGCCACCGUGCCAGCGGAGCUCUCACCAUAAGAGCUUGAUUCCUGACGAUGCUGUCACCAGGAACCACUUUGCUCCUGAACGCUGACGCGGUCUGCAAAGCUGCACCGUGCGUUGCGUGUAAUGGAUGUCAGAUGAAUAUUCGUUGACUGGCAUGGAGGCCACCGUGGGGCACGGCACACAAUCCAACGCCACCAGCCCCCUUGUGGAGGGGCCGUCUGUCAAGUGAGUCAUCUUUACAACUGGACGCCACAGCACGGAGGCCACAGAUGGUUUCCACACAGCCUUUCACCUUUUCUCUAGGUAACAAAAGGUAUAGUUCCAGACAGCGGGUCUGGAAGAGGGCGUGUUCGCCUCAUCCCUACAACAGAGGUCUUGGUCUCUGGAGUGGCGUGCACAUGACUCUGGCCACUGGUGCCCUUGAUUCAACAGAAACAAAGAGAAUGCAGGAGACAAUGUGAAAACCAGGUUCUAAGGUGAACUAAGUGUAAUAAACCUGACUCCUGCCCCAAUUUUCAUAGGUUCUGGAAAAUAGAAAGUGUCAGGAAAAAGAUCAGGAAUUUAAUAGACCUAGGAAGAAACAAAUGUACAGAUAUAUCAACCUUUACUCCCUAUGUCUCGUGCCCCUUUCUGCCAGAAAGUGGGUAUGAUAUAUAUGUGUACAAACAUUUAUAUUUUAUAAUGUAAUUAUAUAUUAUAAAAAUAAAAUAUAAUGUGUCAUAUAA